UACGUAGGGAGCGAGCGUUGUCCGGAUUCAUUGGGCGUAAAGAGCUCGUAGGCGGCUUGGUAAGUCGGAUGUGAAACCUCCAGGCUUAACCGAGGAACUGCCCUCCAAACUGCUUGGCUUGAGUCCGGGAGAGGUGAGUGGAAUUCCCAGUGUAGCGGUGAAAUGCGUAGAUAUUGGGAGGAACACCAGUGGCGAAGGCGGCUCACUGGACCGGAACUGACGCUGAGGCGCGAAAGCGUGGGGAGCAAACGGG
rnacentral:rRNA from 1 species